rnacentral:rRNA from 1 species
GGAAUUGUUCGCAAUGGGCGCAAGCCUGACGACGCAACGCCGCGUGGGGGAUGAAGGUCUUCGGAUUGUAAACCCCUGUCGAGCGGGACGAAUAGCCCGCGACCUAAUACGUCGUGGGAAUGACGGUACCGCUAAAGGAAGCCACGCAUAACCCUGUGCCAGCAGCCGCGGUAAGACAGAGGUGGCAAGCGUUGUUCGGAAUUACUGGGCGUAAAGGGCGCGUAGGCGGCCUUCUAAGUCAGACGUGAAAUCCCCCGGCUUAACCUGGGAACUGCGUCUGAUACUGGGAGGCUAGAGUGCGGGAGAGGGAUGCGGAAUUCCAGGUGUAGCGGUGAAAUGCGUAGAUAUCUGGAGGAACACCGGUGGCGAAGGCGGCAUCCUGGACCGACACUGACGCUGAGGCGCGAAAGCUAGGGUAGCAAAC